GACGAACGCUGGCGGCGUGCUUAACACAUGCAAGUCGAACGGAAAGGCCCUUCGGGGUACUCGAGUGGCGAACGGGUGAGUAACACGUGGGUGAUCUGCCCUGCACUUUGGGAUAAGCCUGGGAAACUGGGUCUAAUACCGAAUAGGACCACGCGCUUCAUGGUGUGUGGUGGCAAGCUUUUGCGGCGUGGGAUGGGCCCGCGGCCUAUCAGCUUGUUGGUGGGGUAAUGGCCUACCACGGCGACGACGGGUAGCCGGCCUGAGAGGGUGACCGGCCACACGGGGACUGCGGUACGGCCCAGACUCCUACGGGAGGCAGCAGUGGGGAAUAUUGCACAAUGGGCGCAAGCCUGAUGCAGCGGCGCCGGGUGAGGGAUGACGGCCUUCGGGUUGUAAACCUCUUUCACCAGGGACGAAGCGUAAGUGACGGUACCUGGAGAAGAAGCACCGGCCAACUACGUG
rnacentral:rRNA from 1 species